UACGGGAGGCAGCAGUGAGGAAUAUUGGUCAAUGGACGGAAGUCUGAACCAGCCAAGUAGCGUGCAGGAUGACGGCCCUAUGGGUUGUAAACUGCUUUUAUAUAGGGAUAAAGUCGGGGACGUGUCCCCGUUUGUAGGUACUAUAUGAAUAAGGACCGGCUAAUUCCGUGCCAGCAGCCGCGGUAAU
rnacentral:rRNA from 1 species